rnacentral:rRNA from 1 species
UACGAAGGGGGCGAGCGUUGUUCGGAAUCACUGGGCGUAAAGGGCGCGUAGGCGGCCCUCCUUGUCGCGUGUGAAAGCCCCGGGCUCAACCUGGGAACGGCGCGCGAGACGGGGGGGCUGGAGUUCGGGAGAGGAGCGUGGAAUUCCCAGUGUAGAGGUGAAAUUCGUAGAUAUUGGGAAGAACACCGGUGGCGAAGGCGGCGCUCUGGACCGAGACUGACGCUGAGACGCGAAAACGUGGGGAGCAAACAGG